GACGCUGAGUGGUGACACCUGGAAAGGCCCGGAUUCACCUGUCCGACGUGGCCCGGAGCGCUGGUGGGCCCCCACUCGCUGACAUGGCAUGCAAUUCCUGGCUACCAUUGCCUCUCGAGCUUUCAGGGUGCAUGCAGAAGCCCAGGAGCCAUCAGCCAAGGACACAACAAAACUCAUGUUGUUCCUGCCAAUUAUAAACACGGGCAGAGAAGAGGGACAUAGCAGGCUAACUGUCGCAAAAGUAAAAGCGGCAGCUUUUCAGGAGACAAAGUUUUGAUUGGCAGAUGGAGCAAGUGCGGCCGCCCAUCAUCCAAUGACUUGGGCCGGAGU